ACGCUCGACACCUACGGGAGGCAGCAGUGGGGAAUAUUGCACAAUGGGGGAAACCCUGAUGCAGCGACGCCGCGUGAAGGAAGAAGUAUUUCGGUAUGUAAACUUCUAUCAGCAGGGAAGAAAAUGACGGUACCUGACUAAGAAGCCCCGGCUAACUACGUGCCAACAGCCGCGGUAAUCUGAGCGGGCUGGCAAGGC
rnacentral:rRNA from 1 species